GAUGAACGCUGGCGGCGUGCCUAAUACAUGCAAGUCGAGCGAAUGGAUUAAGAGCUUGCUCUUAUGAAGUUAGCGGCGGACGGGUGAGUAACACGUGGGUAACCUGCCCAUAAGACUGGGAUAACUCCGGGAAACCGGGGCUAAUACCGGAUAACAUAUUUAACCGCAUGGUUCGAAAUUGAAAGGCGGCUUCGGCUGUCACUUAUGGAUGGACCCGCGUCGCAUUAGCUAGGUGGUGAGGUACCGGCUCACCAAGGCAACGAUGCGUAGCCGACCUGAUGGGGUGAUCGGCCAAACUGGGACUGAGACACGGCCCAGACUCCUACGGGAGGCAGCAGUAGGGAAUCGUCCGCAAUGGACGAAAGUCUGACGGAGCAACGCCGCGUGAGUGAUGAAGGCUUUCGGGUCGUAAAACUCUGUUGUUAGGGAAGAACAAGUGCUAGUUGAAUAAGCUGGCACCUUGACGGUACCUAACCAGAAAGCCACGGCUAACUACGUGCCAGCAGCCGCGGUAA
rnacentral:rRNA from 1 species